AUGGAUUGUCAUAGUAUUUUUCCAAAACAGCUUUUUGAUUUGCUUGUCUUUCAGCAGUCUGUACAUUUCUGAGUGAAACUGAGUCAUUGGCAAGCAAAUAAAUGUGACUAAAAGAGUUACCAGUACAGGAUCUAUUAAGAGUUCAGGGCCGCUGUGACGGCAGUUGUCCUCAGUAGCUGCCUUCUAUGAAUGCCAACAUUUUGGUUUUGUUUUAUGAUCCUCUCAGCUUUUUUCUUUGCAGGACUGUCUCUUGAAAGUCAUGGCUUAGAAUGUAGAUGUCCCUGUGUGAAUAUGCUUGACCAUCACCAUUUUACCUUUUGGUUCUUUGUAAACUUACGUUUUUGUCCUGCCCUUUGCCCUGUUUGCACUAACAGCCAUCAUAGUCUUCACUCCCAUAGUCAUACUCUCUCUGAGCGGGGCUGCAGUCUGCUUAUUUGAUGCCCUCUUGUGGCUCAGAUUAUUAGUAUGCUGUUUGCCAUGAAAAACAGGAGAUGCAUUGAGAUUCCCCCUAUAGUCACAUCUGAAUAGUGACCCUUCCUAACCUGGAACUCCAAAGGCCAUGGAAACAUGUGUUCUUGUUGAACAUAACUCUGCCUUGUUUAAUAUAAGGGUUUCUCAGCACCCUACAACUGUGAUUCUAAAACUAGCUUAUUUAGUUACUUAAUUCUGAAGGUUUUUUCCUAUAAUUAAAUGUUAUCGCUCAGGCAAGAUGUAUGUCCUGUUUCUUAAAAAAUGUUGGGAAUCCAUAGUAAAGAGAAUUUAUGCAAAAAAAAUCUGUUUGAAAUAUUUUUAAAAUAAUUAUUAUAAUUGUAAUAUUAUUACAUUUGUAAUUAUAUUAAUCUUAAUUACAUUUAUUUAAUGUUAAA